rnacentral:tRNA from 1 species
GUCUUCGUGGUGUAGUGGUCAGUACGCUUGACGCGUAACCGAGAGGUCCGUGGUUCGAUUCCCGGCGAAGGCG